rnacentral:rRNA from 1 species
GUCGAACGGUAGGAAGUGCUUGCACUUCUGAGAGUGGCGAACGGGUGAGUAACACGUAGAUGAUCUACCUUUUAGUUGGGGAUAGCCCAUGGAAACAUGGAGUAAUACCGAAUAAUCUCUUAUUGCUUUGGCAAUUUGAGGAAAGCAGCGUUUGCUGUGCUGAAAGAUGAGUCUGCGCACUAUUAGCUAGUUGGUGGGGUAAGAGCCUACCAAGGCGACGAUAGUUAGCCGACCUGAGAGGGUGAUCGGCCACAUUGGGACUGAGACACGGCCCAGACUCCUACGGGAGGCAGCAGCUAAGAAUCUUCCGCAAUGGGCGCAAGCCUGACGGAGCGAUGCCGCGUGAAUGAAGAAUGUCGAGAGAUUGUAAAAUUCUUUUAUGAGUGAGGAAUAAUGAUAGCAGGAAAUGGUUAUUAGAUGACGUUAGCUCAUGAAUAAGCUCCGGCCAAUUACGUGCCAGCAGCCGCGGUAACACGUAAGGAGCGAGCGUUGUUCGGAAUUAUUGGGCGUAAAGGGCGUGUAGGCGGUUAAUUAAGUCUUGUUUGAAAGACCGAUGCUCAACAUCGGGAACGGGCAGGAAACUGAUUAACUAGAAUUCGGUAGGGAGAUACGGAAUUCCUAGUGUAGGGGUGAAACCUGUUGAUAUUAGGAAGAACACCAAUGGCGAA